CGGAGCAGAGGGUCGCGAAAGAGUUAAAAAAACAGAGGGUAUCGCCGAUUUGAAGGGAGUUCUGAAAGAUGGGUCAAUUAUAUGAUACUUUGAAGAUAAAUGGGUACUUCUUAAGACUUUAUUAUAAAAUUGGUGAUCAUUGUGGCGGAGCAACAUGUAUGGGAAAUUUAAUUGCUAUGACCAAAGGAGCAAGUCCAUUCAGAAAAGAACCUGAGACUUAGACUUGGUGCAUGAAAUAUCAAUUUAUGUUGUUAUGCCUCAUUUUGUGAUUUAAUGUAUAAUUGCCAACUUAGAGAAAUUUUGAAUAUAAUUGAGCAUGUAGACUAGUCUAACUCAUUAAA